AUGGAGAAGAGGUCCCCGCUGUCGUCGAAGUCGAGCCCCAUGGAGCCGCUCCGGCCCUCGCCCAGCGACGCGGACCGCACGAAGCACGGGUUGGCCGUGCGCCGCGCGUUGGCCGGCGCGUACCGGAACUUGCUCUGCCCGAGGUUCACCAGCGCCAUCACGUCGAAGCUGGAGGCCAGCACCGGGUACAGCGGGCUGGAGAAGGCGUCGGCGUUGCAGCUCACCGCGUGGACCAGCUGCCCGUCCACCGUGAAGUACACCUUCCGCUUCGUCGGCUCGAAGCCGCAGCCCACGACCUUGUCCACCCCCGCCCACGCUGACUUCUCCGAUUCGUACGCCAGCUUCAUCCCUGCACAAUCAACGAACCUGUUCAGCUCACGAUUUGCACGGCACGAAACAGUCGCGGCAACGCAAAGAAUUCCGUGUUAUUACCGUCGAGGUAGACCGCGCCGUUGGAGUGGAAGCCGAUGGACGACGCGUACGUUCCGGCUAACGACGGUCGUGCCGGUGCGGCUGUCCCGGCGGCGAGGCCCAGCGACAUGA
rnacentral:rRNA from 1 species